AUUGAACGCUGGCGGCGUGCUUAACACAUGCAAGUCGAGCGGUAACAGGUGUAGCAAUACAUGCUGACGAGCGGCGAACGGGUGAGUAAUGCUUCGGAAUCUUCCUAGUAGUGGGGAAUAACCUGGGGAAACUCAGGCUAAUACCGCAUACGAACUACGGUUGAAAGCAGGGGAUCGCAAGACCUUGCGCUAUUAGAUGAGCCGAAGUCGGAUUAGCUAGUUGGUGAGGUAACGGCUCACCAAGGCGACGAUCCGUAGCUGGUCUGAGAGGACGACAGGCCACACUGGGACUGAGACACGGCCCAGACUCCUACGGGAGGCAGCAGUGGGGAAUAUUGGACAAUGGGGGCAACCCUGAUCCAGCGACGCCGCGUGUGUGAAGAAGGCCUGCGGGUUGUAAAGCACUUUUAGUGGGGACAAAAAGCCGAGGGCUAAUACUCUUCGGUCUUGAUUUAACCCAAAGAAAAAGCACCGGCUAACUCUGUGCCAGCAGCCGCGGUAAAAC
rnacentral:rRNA from 1 species